CCCUCCAGGAAAGUGGACUGCUGGGAAAGCAGAACAUCCUCGGCAUCAAUGUGAUGCUCCUUGGUGUCUUUUUCUGGGGUGACGGCUUCUUCUUUUCCCUCAGUUUCGUGUUCGAUGGCGUCUGAAGGCGUGUCUACAUGGAUGGUGCUUUUGUGGAGCUCCAGGGCUGAGCGAAGCGGGAACGCCUUGUCGCAACACUCGCACACAAAGCGGUGAAACUUACUUACGCAGCGACGAAGGUUGGUCUCACACCAGACCUGACGAAGACCAAGGUAAGCAAGCAAGCCAGCUUAUAAAAGGAGGUGAGGGGACAGGCGAUUGCCUAUUAAUAGAAGCCCACAAGACAUCCAGAAGUCCUGAUAGCCACUGACAGGAAGAACUUUAUGAAGAGACGUGUCACUAUUGGCUGCUGAAGUGCACAGCCAGCAGUUUUUACAGCCGGCUAAAAACGAACAGCAACAGAUGGCUUCAAGAGGAAGGAUGGAGAGCUUCUCAGAUGGAAAGAAAGAUGGAUGCAGUAGUCACAGGAGG